rnacentral:rRNA from 1 species
UACGUAGGGUGCGAGCGUUGUCCGGAAUUAUUGGGCGUAAAGAGCUUGUAGGCGGUUUGUCGCGUCUGCUGUGAAAAUCCGGGGCUCAACCCCGGACUUGCAGUGGGUACGGGCAGACUAGAGUGUGGUAGGGGAGACGUGGAAUUCCUGGUGUAGCGGUGAAAUGCGCAGAGUAUCAGGAGGAACACCGAUGGCGAAGGCAGGUCUCUGGGUCACUACUGACGCUGAGGAGCGAAAGCGUGGGGGAGCGAACAGG